rnacentral:lncRNA from 1 species
CCAGGCUCCCAGAAAGCCAUGUUUAGGAUUCCUCCCCUUGUCUUCAGACUUCCCAGCUGCCUCCAGCAUUCUUUUGUCUCUUGUUCCAAAAAGGCAAAAAUGGCCUUUUCCAGCGGCUGCUCCCUCGAAGUCUCCAUAGCAGCCCUACUGUGUGUGGGAUUUGUCAGUGGGCCACCAUAAUGCAUGAAGAGGCCUCAAACCAAGGCCAGAGUAGGGAGGACACUGCCGGGGCUCUGCAAGAGGCAGCAAAGCCCACUUCAGCAUCCCUAUCGUGGUGACGUUGGGACAUCACCUGACCAGGUGAAGACCCUGGGGUCCAGAGGUCAGAAGGAACUGUCCAACGUCAAACCAAACCAAACCCUUCAGGAGAAGAAAGAUCUGGUGGCCUAUUCUGCAUGCUGCUUCAGGCUGCCACUGUCCUGAUGGACUGUGACAUCCUUGAAGUGGGAGCUGGACUCAACUCACCUUGCUCCUCUUACUCACCUGAAUCCAGUGCAGGGCGAGGCACAGGGAGGCACCCUCCUCUCCAUUCUGACUUCUCUGCCGAGCCAGGUCUUCCCAGCUGCAUUCCUGUGGGUCAAAGCCAAGGAACAGCUCUCCUCUUACACUAGCAAAUCCUAUUAUGGAGUCUUUUUCUCAGCUAUAUAAUUUGUCUCCUUGAUAAGACAGAAUUAUGAACUCACAUUCUGUGAACUCAUAACAAGGCCUGCCACUGACAUUUGUAAGGCAUCUGUCUUAGUCAAGGUUUCUAUUUCUGCACAAACAUCAUGACCAAGAAGCAAGUUAGGGUGGAAAGGGUUUAGUCAGCUUACAUUUCCACAUUGCUGUUCAUCACCAAAGCAGUUGGAACUCAAGCAGGUCAGGAAGCAGGAGCUGAUGCAGAGGCCGUAGAGGAAUGUUUCUUACUGGCUUGCUUUCCCUGGCUUGCUCACCUUGCUCUCUUAUAGAACCCAAGACUACCAGUCCGGGGAUGGUACCACCCACAAGGGGCCCUAUCCCCUUGAUCACUAAUUGAGAAAAUGCCCCACAGCUGGAUCUCAUGGAGGCAUCUCCUCACCUGAAGCUCCUUUCUCUGUGAUAACUCCAGCUUGUGUCAAGUUGACACACAAAACCAGGCAGUACAGCAUCUAUGUGAAACAUGGUCUCAAGAAAGAAAGAAUCGGGGACAGAAUUAGAAGGAAAGAGACCUUAAGAAGAGGAAAGAAAUGAUAUUCCCUGAGUUACUACAAUUGCACAGCGCUCUGUAAGGCAAGGGGACCCCUUUGAGCACAGGGUCCCCAAGGCUCAGGCUGCAUUUCAUUCAAUCUAAAAGAGGGAAGAAAACAUUGUGAUUAACAGUGGAAUCACAAUGGCUGUCCGCAGCCAUCCUCUGAGCCUACCUAGGAAGGUUCUAGAAACCCCUGGAAGCAGAGUUCCCUGGGGACUCCUGGUCUUUACUCUGAUUAUUUCUCAUGGUCCCAUCCUUCUAGACGCUUCCGUCCUCAUCUGUUCCAGACAUCAAUGUAUUCUUGUCUGGGGAACGUGUGUCAUUUGGGGAAUAGACGGACCUGUAUAUAACUAAUAUUCUAUUUGUGGACUGUGGAUGCGUCACUUACAGUAUGAACAAUGUUUUGGGCUGUGUGUUUUCUGCUCCACGGUCUGUUUUUUUUCUUCCAUCUAGUUGGUAACGAUCAAGAUGAACACUACAUUUUCCCCCACAUCUCUAGAGACAGACGCUGCUGCUGUGCGAGGCGAGGGGAGCUGAUAUCUAUUCAGCUCAGGUUGUGCACCAACAGCUGGCUGAAGCAGUGAUCCCACCCAUGUGUAUCUUGGUGAACGAGUGGGUUUCUUAGAGUUCCUUACCGGCACGUGGGAAGGGUCUGCUUACAGAGCAUGAGUGACUGAAAAGUAGCUUUAUUACCAAAAGCCCAACACAGCACGGGUGGCCAUUUAUGAAAGUUGCAUGCGUGGAGCUCCCUGCAGGAGCUGCAGGCAGCUGAGUGGUUAGAGAACAUCCAUUCCUAGCAACUGCUGUUACAUAUCUAACCCCGAGGGUGACCUCUGUCUGGGCCCUUGCUCAGCUCUCCAGGGGGAAAAUGUGUCAUACCUGUUAGUGCUUUGAGUCACCAGCUCCACGGACCCGGACCGACAGGGCAGACUGAAGAGGGGGAUGGCAAGCCAGCCAUGUGUUCUCCACUCUCCCUCUUUUUUUUUUUCAAUGUUAACUACAAAGACAGACAGUCCAGGGAGGAGUUGCCAGUUUGCUCAGGGACUGGGGAUGGGUCUUUCUUGAGCACUGUCUGC